CUUUGUGAACGAGAAGAAAGAAGGACAGGGCAAAGAAGAAGACGAAGUUUCAUUCUUUAUGACUGUUAGUGAUGGCAGAAUAAACGGAACAUUACAAAGGUUUAGUUUUACGUUGAAGCACCUGGGACGGUGUUCCAAGAAUACGCGUGGGCGACAUGUUGGCGGCGCGACGAAACACUUUUACAAUACCAGUCAGCCAAUAAUAACGUACUACACUACUGGAGGUAAGGACAUGUGCAAGGACGACAUCAAGAUCAACAUAACUAAUCAAGAUAUUUACUUGCUCAGAGGUUUCAAGUCGUGGUGGAUGCCUCCCACUCUUCUAUACGGCCUUUUUUGCGGUAAUACCAGCUACAAACCGUCCACCUGUAACUCCAUGAAACUAACUUCUACCAAUGAUACAAGUUUCCCACCUCGGAAUGGGACUCGUUGGAAUAGCCAAGAAACUUUAUUUUUUGCAACAAAUGACUUCGUCUGUGGCGUGUUUCGAGUCGAUUUGUUCAGCAAUGGAGGCCGAACUGGUAUUUAUGAAGUCCGUGUGAGAAACGCAUACAAGAUGGAUGAAAUAGCGCAACAAUGCUUGAAUUACACAAGUGUACAUUUCAGUGGAGAGAAUUUUACUGACUGUAAGAAAUUUAAAUAACAUUUCAUAAAACAACCUCCGCAUGCCAUACGAAUUUGUAAUUGAAUAAAUUGCAAUCAGUGUCU